CUUGCGAGCUUUACACUCUCUGAAGAAGAAAAGAGAAAAAAUGAUAAAAAGAAGAAGACAAUGUAGGGGGAGGGAGCGAAUCAGAAUAUUAUGGAUUGAUACAAAUAGUCGCUUGCGCCAACCCUCAGCCAGAGUUGAAUUAAUGUGUUACUAUUUUUGGAACGCCUGUGUUUCCAGGGGAAACCUAAUGACGCAAUGACGUCAAUGCAGGUCAACAGCAGACUGGAGGAAUUGAGCGCUUCCAUUAGAUUUUGCAGUAUUUUCCAGAAACGCGGAAAGGACAAAAUGGAUUAGUUUAAAAUGUAUGAAAACAUCAGAGUGUAAUUUGAAAACAUUAAAGAUCAUUGUGAGUGGAGCACAUUCGAAUCUAUCGGAAUUAUUAUUACAAAAAAAAAAGAAAAAGAAAAAGAUCUCGUCUUCCUUGAAGCAUCGCUUACACGAUUGCAAGCACCUGUGUUUGUAUCAUCGGUGUGACGAAACCCCCUUCUUUCCCCAUCUCUUCCCCAAACUGUGGGUGUGUGCAGCACAGGGCGUUCACCACGGCGGAUAUAUACGAAGCUGAUUUCCAGGUCCCUGUCUUGUCCUUUUCAGGUCUUUUUGCGGUCUGGGCUUGCUGUUCCUUGAACCAGUAGCCAGGAAGCCCUUACCCCAAAAAGUAUCUGCAGAGGACCACAUCAUCUUAACAGAUAUAUCAAGCUCUCAAAAUUUCCACCAAACACAGAUUACUGACAAAAACUGUCCUUUUUGCAUAACUAGAAAUCUUUUCACAUUUAAAAGCAAAGCAUUUCUAAAUCAACAUGGUACAUUAGGCUAUUUUUACAUAGUAUGGUGGGAAGAUUUACAGACCUUGUACGUUUAAAUAUAAAAUUUGACUUCCUACCACAAAUGUGAUGUACAAGAUGAACUGUGAUGCAUUUAGCAAAUUCAAUCUGAAAACAACCAGAUCUUAACGUUUACUUGUUGGGCGGAGUAACUGAUGCUGCGGAGUUCGAUUAUAUUAAUGUGUAAGAAAUCAAUUCAAACUAUAAGGCCUGUUUUAUUUAGCAAAAGAUCCAUCUCAAAAAGUCUAAUAAAAUGGACCAUUCCAUCAAUAUUGAUAAAUGCUGCACUAGUUUCUUAAACAUGAAACAGUACAUUAAUAUAUAAAACAUUUUUCAGUUGGAUUUUAUUGUUUGUCGGUCUAUACAAACCAACCUGACAUUUAUUAGCCUAUAUAAAAGUGUUUUGUUCAUUUUAACAUUGAUUUUCUCUGCCCUGUAUGGAUGGAGAAAUAUAUUAAUCGCAUAUCCAUUACCUUUCUCCUUCCUUUAAAAUUAUUUAAUAAUCUUUUUUUUUUUUAAAGACUGCCAUGUCAUUCAUAUAAUGCAUACUGUACAAUGGAAAAGUACUGAAAGGAACAUUCAAGAAACAGCUUAAAUGGGCCAAAAGACCUUAUUAAUGGCAACCAUAUGACAGUUGGGUAUUCAUCAGGUCCAUGGGCAUCUUGCUAUUGUGCUUUUUUGCCAAGAGCAUUUAUCCCCAUAACUUCCUGCCCAUUCACCAGGACACCAGCUGAGUGCUUUGGCCACGUGACUCUACUGUCCUCAGGCCUUUCUGUUGUUUCCGUUCUUGUCUUGGAGAUCAUGCACUCCACAAAAAGGGAGACCAUAUGCUUGACAGACUGUUUAAAUAAGGCUCACCCAAAUUAAGAUUUAAUAAAUAUGUGUAUCAAGUCUCUGUUUAGCAGGAGAGUGGAACCAGAGAGAAAAAAAAAAUUGUAAAGAUAAGGUUUGUGAUAUUACUUCAAAUUGGGAACUUAGAGAUGGUAAUCUUAUUAUUCAAAGUAUUCCUUGUUUCUUUUUUUAAUAAACACACAGUCCUUUCUAUACUGAUGACGGUGUGACCCUCAUAUUGGAGACGGGGUUAGUCCAUUUGAAUUAUGAUCCAAAAACAUGGCACACAAUUUGUGUCACCAUUUAGCCUUGGGAAAUGGAGCAGUGCUCCGCUGAUGUCACCAGCGUAGGACGUACUGUUGUGGAGCCGCUUUUUUUGGGGUCUCCAACGGUCUAUUGUAGACUUUGUAAGGAGUUUUGAAUUUGCUCAUAAAGGUUUUAAUUUAAUCAAUGAUUUAAUUAAUGGUAUUUUGUUAGAAAGGUUUUAAAUGUAACCAAAAGUUGCUAUUAAAAUAUUGAUGUUCGGUGUAU